rnacentral:misc_RNA from 1 species
UGGGGCUUAACCCUUCCACUAUGACACUAUGUAGUGGAGGUGCUACAAAUGAGCUGGAACAAGCAUUAAAAAAUUGUGAAGCAGUUUCUGAAUGUUUUAGAUCUUCAGUAUCUACUUCUUCUGUUAUAUUUGUCACGUAUUGUUCAAGUCGGAUACAACCAGAGGAGAGAAAGAGAAUAGAGGACAAGUUGCAUGGUGUACUUGAGGAAAUGAG